rnacentral:misc_RNA from 1 species
AAAGUCGUAACAAGGUUUUCGUAGGUGAACCUGCGGAAGGAUCAUUAGUGAAACAUAAGAGUGCUCUUUAUUGAGGCUCGUUUAACUAUCCAAUACACUUGUGCAUUUGAAAACACUUAACCUUCAUAACCAUUUGGGCUUCGGUCCUUUGGAUUUGAUUGUUAACACACAUAACCCCAUUGCUUUAAUAAGAGAUGAUGAUGUUUUAAACCAUGAAAUUGAAAGAACAACUUUCAGCAACGGAUUUCUUGGCUCUC